rnacentral:misc_RNA from 1 species
CCGAGUUUUCAACUCCCAAACCCUUUUGUGAACAUACCUAUCGUUGCUUCGGCGGACUCGCCCCAGCGUCCGGCCGGCCCCGCGCCGGCCGCGGCCUGGAUCCAGGCGGCCGCCGGAGACCCCCAAACUCUGUAUUCUCAGUAUCUUCUGAAUCCGCCGCAAGGCAAAACAAAUGAAUCAAAACUUUCAACAACGGAUCUCUUGGUUCUGGCAUCGAUGAAGAACGCAGCGAAAUGCGAUAAGUAAUGUGAAUUGCAGAAUUCAGUGAAUCAUCGAAUCUUUGAACGCACAUUGCGCCCGCCAGCAUUCUGGCGGGCAUGCCUGUUCGAGCGUCAUUUCAACCCUCGACUUCCCUUUGGGGAAAUCGGCGUUGGGGACCGGCCGUAUACCGCCGGCCCCGAAAUGAAGUGGCGGCCCGUCCGCGGCGACCUCUGCGUAGUAAUCCAACUCGCACCGGAACCCCGACGUGGCCACGCCGUAAAACCCCCGACUUCUGAACGUU